rnacentral:rRNA from 1 species
AGGAAUAUUGGUCAAUGGGCGUAAGCCUGAACCAGCCAAGUAGCGUGAGGGAAGACUGCCCUAUGGGUUGUAAACCUCUUUUGUGCGGGGAUAAAGUGAGGGACGUGUCCCUUAUUGCAGGUACCGCACGAAUAAGGACCGGCUAAUUCCGUGCCAGCAGCCGCGGUAAUACGGAAGGUCCGGGCGUUAUCCGGAUUUAUUGGGUUUAAAGGGAGCGCAGGCCGUCCUUUAAGCGUGCUGUGAAAUGCCGCGGCUCAACCGUGGCACUGCAGCGCGAACUGGAGGACUUGAGUACGCACGAGGUAGGCGGAAUUCGUGGUGUAGCGGUGAAAUGCUUAGAUAUUACGAAGAACUCCGAUUGCGAAGGCAGCUUACCGGAGCGCAACUGACGCUGAGGCUCGAAAGCGCGGGUAUCGAACAGGAUUAGAUACCCUGGUAGUCCGCGCGGUAAACGAUGGAUGCCCGCCGUUGGGAUUUGGAUUUCAGCGGCCAAGCGAAAGCGUUAAGCAUCCCACCUGGGGAGUACGCCGGCAACGGUGAAACUCAAAGGAAUUGACGGGGGCCCGCACAAGCGGAGGAACAUGUGGUUUAAUUUGAUGAUACGCGAGGAACCUUACCCGGGCUUGAAUUGCAGGAGAACGAUCCAGAGAUGGUGAGGCCCUUCGGGGCUCCUGUGAAGGUGCUGCAUGGUUGUCGUCAGCUCGUGCCGUGAGGUGUCGGCUCAAGUGCCAUAACGAGCGCAACCCCUGUCCAUAGUUGCCAUCAGGUCGUGCUGGGCACUCUGUGGAGACUGCCGCCGUAAGGUGUGAGGAAGGUGGGGAUGACGUCAAAUCAGCACGGCCCUUACGUCCGGGGCUACACACGUGUUACAAUGGGGCAUACAGCGAGUUGGAUGUGCGCAAGUACGUCCGGAUCAAUAAAGUGCCUCUCAGUUCGGACUGGGGUCUGCAACCCGACCCCACGAAGCUGGAUUCGCUAGUAAUCGCGCAUCAGCCAUGGCGCGGUGAAUACGUUCCCG